rnacentral:rRNA from 1 species
CCUACGGGGGGCUGCAGUGGGGAAUUUUGGACAAUGGGGGCAACCCUGAUCCAGCCAUGCCGCGUGAGUGAAGAAGGCCUUCGGGUUGUAAAGCUCUUUCGGCCGGGAAGAAAUCGUGCGGGCUAAUACCCUGUAUGGAUGACGGUACCGGAAGAAGAAGCACCGGCUAACUACGUGCCAGCAGCCGCGGUAAUACGUAGGGUGCGACCGGUAGUCGGAAUUACUGGGCGUAAAUCGUGCGCCAGAGGUUAAAUCCACGGGCUGAACCUGGGAACUGCGGUUGUGACUGCGAGACUUGAGUGCGGCAGAGGGGGGUGGAAUUCCACGUGUAGCAGUGAAAUGCGUAGAGAUGUGGAGGAACACCGAUGGCGAAGGCAGCCCCCUGGGUCGACACUGACGCUCAGGCACGAAAGCGUGGGGAGCAAACAGGAUUAGAUACCCUAGUAGUC